rnacentral:lncRNA from 1 species
CAAUGGUCAAUGUUUUCUUCAUCAUCAAAAUAACCAUAACUCAACUCCAAUCUUUCCUUCUUUUAAACAAAGAACACGUAUACGAACAUAUAUACUAUUAAUGAAUUCAUUGUUUACAAUUGAUAACUACUCUGUUAGUUAAAUUAAGGAAACCAGUCUCACUUAUUUUUGUCACGAUCACUCCGCCAGAAUUUGAGCAUACAACCGCACAAUUGGUUCAUUCAACUAGAAACCAGGAUCAGAUAAUCAAGCCUAGAACUUAAAACACAAACGCAUUUAAACACUACGGACCCAUUAUCAAAUAUCAAUACCCAACACAUCUACUGAAUCAAUAACCGGGAAUUCACUCAUACCCAUAGAAGCAAGCAAGUCCAUAAUUUCCCUAUCAAAGAGUCGAUUAAACUGAUUCUAACAACAACAUGACAUGCUUCACUAAUUCAAACGACCAAAAAAUCAGAUCUGACUUUAAUCAAACGCAAACAAAAGAAAACAAUUAGACUUGAAAUUACAACAAGAAUUCCAUUCGAUGUCAAAACACACAAAUCAGAAUCGUUAAAAUAAUUAAUCGAUUUUAUUAUUUGACCUCGCGGAGAGAAAAUUUUUGGUGUUUACAGGAAACUUCGAGAAAUUCCUGAUGCCUCCCGCGGAUCGAAUCAGAAAUUAUGCCAACGGAAACCUCGACUAACGGCCUCACGAACUCGCAGCUGAUCAAUAGCCAAGCAGCUUGAAUUGCAGGUCUUCACGAUAACAACGAGAGUCGUGAAACUGUAUUUUUGGCCAAAUUUAACAGUGGUCGCCGGUCAGCUUGCCGCAGAUGGUAACGACCGCUGCUGGAGUUCUUGUUGAAGAUGGACGGUCGAUUUUCUGUGUAUUUGCUCUUACGUCCUUAGGAUUUAUUUAUCAAUUAAGGGUCAAAUAUAUCCUUG